rnacentral:rRNA from 1 species
ACGCUUUGGUAAUGUGCCAUGAAGUUGGGAAUAACUCGNUGAAAGGCGAGCUAAUGCCGAAUGUGGUUGCCUGGAGGAAUCUCCGGGUUACUAAAGUUGGGGACCGAAAGGCCUGACGCUACAUGAUAAGCCCGCGCCCUAUCAGCUAGUUGGUGAGGUAACGGCCCACCAAGGCUAAGACGGGUAGCUGGUCUGAGAGGACGACCAGCCACACUGGAACUGAGACACGGUCCAGACACCUACGGGUGGCAGCAGUCGAGAAUUUUUCACAAUGGGCGCAAGCCUGAUGGAGCGACGCCGCGUGGGGGAUGAAGGGCUUCGGCCCGUAAACCCCUGUCAUUUGCGAACAAACCUUUUCCGUGAACAACGGAAGAGCUGAUGGUAGCGAAAGAGGAAAGGGACGGCUAUCUGUGCCAGCAGCGCG